rnacentral:rRNA from 1 species
GACGGCAACCAACCCCAUGGUUGGGUAUAGCCGCGGGAAACCGCGGGUAAUCCCCAGCGACGCACGGGGCCGGCAUCGGCCCCCUGCCAAAGCUCAGGCGCCGUGGGACGGGCCGUCGUGGUAUUAGGUAGUUGGCGGGGUAACGGCCCACCAAGCCGACGAUGCCUACCGGGCGUGCGAGCGUGGCCCGGCACACUGGGACUGAGACACUGCCCAGACUCCUACGGGAGGCUGCAGUCGAGAAUCUUCGGCAAUGGGCGCAAGCCUGACCGAGCGACGCCGCGUGGAGGACGAAGGCCUUCGGGUUGUAAACUCCUGUCGAGGGGGAAGAAGGGCCGAAAGGCCUUGACUGAUCCCUGGAGGAAGCACGGGCUAAGUUCGUGCCAGCAGCCGCGGUAAGACGAACCGUGCGAACGUUAUUCGGAAUCACUGGGCUUAAAGCGCGUGUAGGCGGGACGGCACGUCGGUCGCUGAAAUCCCCCGGCUUAACCGGGGAACUGGCGUCGAUACGACCGCCCUG